rnacentral:rRNA from 1 species
GACGAACGCUGGCGGCGUGCUUAACACAUGCAAGUCGAACGGAAAGGCCCUGCUUUUGUGGGGUGCUCGAGUGGCGAACGGGUGUGUAACACGUGAGUAACCUCCCCUUGACUUUGGGAUAACUUCUGGAAACUGGGGCUAAUACCGGAUAGGAGCUCCUGCUGCGUGGUGGUGGUUGGAAAGUUUCGGCGGUUGGGGAUGGACUCGCGGCUUAUCAGCUUGUUGGUGGGGUAGUGGCUUACCAAGGCUUUGACGGGUAGCCGGCCUGAGAGGGUGACCGGCCACAUUGGGACUGAGAGAGGGACCAGAAGGCUACGGGAGGCAGCAGUGGGGAAUAUUGCACAAUGGGCGGAAGCCUGAUGCAGCAACGCCGGGUGCGGGAUGACGGCUUUUGGGUUGUAAACCGCUUUGGCCUGUGACGAAGCGUGAGUGACGGUAAUGGGUAAAGAAGCACCGGCUAACUACGUG